GUUUGAUCCUGGCUCAGAUUGAACGCUGGCGGCAGGCUUAACACAUGCAAGUCGAGCGGGGAGAUGUAGCUUGCUACAUUUCCUAGCGGCGGACGGGUGAGUAAUGCUUAGGAAUCUGCCUAUUAGUGGGGGACAACAUUCCGAAAGGAAUGCUAAUACCGCAUACGCCCUACGGGGGAAAGCAGGGGAUCUUCGGACCUUGCGCUAAUAGAUGAGCCUAAGUCAGAUUAGCUAGUUGGUGGGGUAAAGGCCUACCAAGGCGACGAUCUGUAGCGGGUCUGAGAGGAUGAUCCGCCACACUGGGACUGAGACACGGCCCAGACUCCUACGGGAGGCAGCAGUGGGGAAUAUUGGACAAUGGGCGAAAGCCUGAUCCAGCCAUGCCGCGUGUGUGAAGAAGGCCUUUUGGUUGUAAAGCACUUUAAGCGAGGAGGAGGCUACUUGGAUUAAUACUCUAGGAUAGUGGACGUUACUCGCAGAAUAAGCACCGGCUAACUCUGUGCCAGCAGCCGCGGUAAUACAGAGGGUGCGAGCGUUAAUCGGAUUUACUGGGCGUAAAGCGUGCGUAGGCGGCUUUUUAAGUCGGAUGUGAAAUCCCUGAGCUUAACUUAGGAAUUGCAUUCGAUACUGGGAAGCUAGAGUAUGGGAGAGGAUGGUAGAAUUCCAGGUGUAGCGGUGAAAUGCGUAGAGAUCUGGAGGAAUACCGAUGGCGAAAGCAGCCAUCUGGCCUAAUACUGACGCUGAGGUACGAAAGCAUGGGGAGCAAACAGGAUUAGAUACCCUGGUAGUCCAUGCCGUAAACGAUGUCUACUAGCCGUUGGGGCCUUUGAGGCUUUAGUGGCGCAGCUAACGCGAUAAGUAGACCGCCUGGGGGAGUACGGUCGCAAGACUAAAACUCAAAGGAAUUGACCGGAAUCACUAGUGGCGGGCCGCCCUGCAAGGUCGGACAAUUAUGGGGAGAGCUUCCCCCACCGCGUUGGAAUGCAAUAGCCUUGGAGUAAUUUCUAAAGUGUCACUUAAAUAGCUUGCCGACAAAACAAAUAUCUUCUCUCUCUCGCGCGAGCAUGAGGCGAAGAAGCAUCAGGAUUC
rnacentral:rRNA from 1 species